CGCUACAAAAUAAAACCAUAACUACAUAAAAUGUUUGAACAUACCUAAAACUAUUCUAAUCCAUGUAGAAACCACUUCCUUUAAACGUUUGUCACGCCGACAUAAACAACAGUGACGACCGACCACUCAGUCGGUGAGUGACGUGUGCGCGCGCGUACCGAUGGAGCGCGUCCUCGUCCUUGCACGCGCCACUCUACUAUAUAAACCCAGCACAAACACCAUCAGCCCCACGAGACACGACUCCCAGCAUCACAGCCUCCCAGCAUCACAGACUCCCAGCAUCACAGCCUCCCAGCAUCACAGACUCCCAGCAUCACAGACUCCCAGCAUCACAGACUCACAGCCUCCCAGCAUCACAGACUCCCAGCAUCACAGCAUCACAGCGCUGAGCUCUACGGGAGAAGACAACAGAACAUCAACUAACUAUGCGUCCUCGUGCAAACGUGUGUGUCGGCUGGGCCGCGUGCAUCCUGCUUGUUGUGUGUUUGAGCGCGAUGGCGGAAGGAUAUCCAACAAAGCCGCAGAACCCAGGAGAGGACGCACCUGUGGAGGAACUAGCCAAGUAUUACUCCGCGUUGAGACACUACAUCAACCUCAUCACAAGGCAGAGGUAUGGGAAAAGGUCAAACUCUGACGCAUUAACCCCAGACCUGCUGUUUGGAGAGGCAGAGAUGCGACUGCAGUCCAGGUAAAAUGUCGAAACCUACUCCUGACCUGGUGACAUACUUCUUAUGGAUUUGCAAAUAAUAUAUGGUGACCCUUUGAUGUGGUGAUGUCAGUGUAGACAAAUAUGUCAACAUUUCCAUGACUGUUAGCGGCAGUAACCUCUUACAUCAUUAAAAAUGGCUACUUCCAUGAUUCCAUCGCACUGAAAUUUAGUGAUAUGUAGUCCAUUUUUAGCAAGCAUCAGGGUACACCAAACUUGUUAGUUUGGUCUGUUUAGGACAUUGCUGUAAUUGCAUUGUUUCAUUGUUUCUACAUCUUGCUUAUGAGAUCAUAAAUCAUCACUGAUUUGCAUGUAAUCCCCAGCAUCCCCUAUGUGUAUAUAGAUGUCCUGUAUUUAUGUUUGUUAUAUGCACUGUAGCUGCACCAAUAAAGAAAAAACAUUACUGACUGGUGUGGUAUAAUUGUGCUA